GGUUUUUAGAAAUUAUUAAAAAUCAAGCCUGCUCAAUGCUAAGUAAAUAGCCGCGGUAUCUUGACCGUGCAAAGGUAGCAUAAUCAUUAGCCUUAUAAUUGAAGGCUGGAAUGAAUGGUUUAACUAAAUUAUAUUGUCUCAUAAUAAUAUUUUUAAUUUUAUAUUUUAGUAAAAAAGCUAAAAUAUUAAUUAGGGACAAGAAGACCCUAUUGAGCUUUACAAUAAAUAAUAACUUGUUACUUUAUUUAUUACUUAUUGUUUUACUGGGGCAGUAAAAAACUUAAUAUUUAUUUAAAUAUUGUGAAUUAUAAAUCUUGUCAAAUCAAAAAUUUUUUAACAAAAAAUAAGUUACCGUAGGGAUAACAGCGUAAUUUUCCUCAAGAGAACAUAUCAGCAGAAAAGUUUGCGACCUCGAUGUUGGAUUAAGAAUCCUAUUUCACGCAGCCAUGAAAAAAGGAAGUCUGUUCGACUUUUAAAUUCUUCCA
rnacentral:rRNA from 1 species